CAUGUAUUUUUGUACAUGCUUUUCGAAGUCAUGUAUUUGAGGCAAGUUAGCAGUCUAGUAUAUAAAUAUAAAUGUCUAUGAUGUGUUGUAACAGGAAAAAGCACGUAUAGCGACACUGUAUUACACUGUGUCAACUGUGUCGCUUGCUGGAAAGCUCCCAUUUUCAGUGCUGGCAGUAAAUAUCGGAAUGCAGUUUCAGUUCGCUGCAAUAUGUCGCUGACAGAUUUCCUAACCAAGAAAAUGAUCAACUUUAACGCUGGGGAUGACGUGUAGCUCAGUGCUUAACGCGGUCGAUAAUCGAUGGAUAGCAAACCUGGCUCUCGCUCUCACAUAUUCACAAUUUUUGAAAGUUUCUUGUGAAAUUUAAAAUUCUGGUUAAGAGGAAAGUGACCUCGCACGGUGCUUAAGUGUACAAAAAAUUAAGAAAAAAAA